rnacentral:snoRNA from 1 species
AAUCCAUGUUUUGGACAUUGGUGGAGUAAACCCUUGUAUCAUUCCCAAUCCUCUGAAUAGCAUUCUUAGUUCAGUUGUUGGAAAGUAGUAAUCUCAUCUCUUAGCAU